AGGACCGUAGUUAACUAUAACAUUUGGUUUGCAUCCAAAAAGUAUUGAUUAUUCAAUCUGUCUUG
rnacentral:tRNA from 1 species